GUAAAUAGCAAUCAUAUAGAUUUGGAAGGACAUCUUUGAGGUGACUUUGCUGGACUUUUUGAAGGGCUCUUGGCUGGAAUCUUCUCAGGAGUUCUGGCUGCAGGAAGAGAAAUUUAGUUAUGCAUGUUAGGAAGAACUUGUCUUCCUACGAGGGUGGUUAAGCAUUGGAGCAGG